UACGGAGGGGGCUAGCGUUGUUCGGAAUUACUGGGCGUAAAGCGCGCGUAGGCGAAUCUGCAAGUCGGGGGUGAAAUCCCGAGGCUCAACCUCGGAACUGCCUUCGAUACUGCGGGUCUCGAGUCCGGGAGAGGUGAGUGGAAUUCCUAGUGUAGAGGUGAAAUUCGUAGAUAUUAGGAAGAACACCAGUGGCGAAGGCGGCUCACUGGCCCGGUACUGGACGCUG
rnacentral:rRNA from 1 species